AUUUUUUGUAUUUUUAGUAGAGACGGGGUUUCACCGUGUUAGCCAGGAUAGUCUUCAUCUCCUGAGCUCGUGAUCCGCCCGCCUCGGCCUCCCGAAGUGCUGGGAUGACAGGCGGGAGCCACCGCGCCCGGCCGGUACUAGUAUCGUGGAUAACAGCAAUCACUACAUCAUAAAGCUGACAGAGUGGACUGUGAAACCAAUUCAUCGUGUGGCCUGUCCAAUGAAUUACAUUUACUCCCAAUUCUGAAAGGUGCUUUAAAACAAACACAAGAGGAGCCAGCACUUCUCUCAUUAGAUUACCAGUAGGCGGAAACCUUGGGCUUUAUGUGAAAAAGUCCCACUUUACCAACCUGAAGAGCAUCUUACCUCGAAAGCAUUCAUCAGGACAGUGGCUCCCAAUUACAUACCCUGAAGCAGAAGAGAACCUGCUGCCUUGAAGGGAAGGACUCAGUCCUGGCCGAUUUGAUCACUGGAUAACUGAAGAGACCUUGGGCCCUGAAAAACCAAUAGUGAUACCCAGGUAGUGUGCUGUGGGCCUUGGGGGGACUCUGAGACUUGCUGUCUUCAGGUGAGACUCAGCACAUUCCCAGCUGUGGUGACUAUGGGGAGAGACUCCUUCUGCUUGAGAAAAGUGGAGGGAAAUGUAAAGGAGACUUUUUCUUUCAUCUUACGUACCAGGUUGGCC
rnacentral:lncRNA from 1 species